rnacentral:rRNA from 1 species
AUGCAGCAGGCGGCCGCGCAAGCUGCCUUGCUGGUCGUCGCGGCCUACGCGUACGCCAAGCAGGGCACGGGCCCGCUCCGCCUCGGUGUCGACUACGUCGGGGGGACCGUCAAGGCCGUCGCCAGCCCCGUCUACGACCGCUACCACGUCGUGCCUCUCGAUCUCCUCAAGUUCCUCGACCACAACUACAUGAAGGUCGGGAGCGCCAAGGUGCACCUCACGCGCGGGGCUACUGGCAAGAAGGACGUGGGCGAGGCCUUCUUCGUCUUCAUGUUCGCAUAUUCAGAGCAGACAACCCAGGUCAAGCUUGCAUGUAUAGUGAUGUUGGCAGGUAUAUGCGAGUCCGGCAGUGCGGUGGCAGUCCCCGUGGAACGAGCGCUGGACUACUCCCUUGGCCAGACGUACCUGUGCAAGCACGAAUGGAGCGAAAACUUACUGUUGGUGUUGCCCGCCAAGUUCUCCAGCCCGUGGUGA